AAAUAAAUAAAUAAAACCUUAAUUUUUUGUUUGUUUGUUUUUAGGUAACUGGAAGUUGGUCAAUUGCCAAAGGUGACUGAAAUUAAUUGUUUUAAGUGAUUACAAUCUACCAUGGAAACUAAAAUGAUUAAUCAGUCAAGGCCAUAUGCCAUCUGAACAGACCGGCUCGGGCAGUAGCUACUGAAGAAUUGUGUACUUCCAGAGAAGUGGGCCAGAAAGCAGGAAGCCUUUUUGAGGCGUCAAAAAGAACAUAUUUAGGAACUACAAAUCUCUCCACGUCAAGCAUUAUUAUAGCAACUAGAGAUAAUAAAAUGAAGUCCACAGAAGUUAAGAAAAUGAAAGUGAAGAUUUGAAUUAGGCUCCAGAGACUUUCCAUUGACCAUCAUGCC
rnacentral:lncRNA from 1 species